GGCGCAGUCCGCGGCAGGGUUCCGGCCGUGCUGCGGUCCGCACGCUGCGCCCGCUCCCGCCUGCCUCCCGCCCUACCCCCCACCCUCCCCGGCCGAGGCCCGGCGCCGGCCCGUCCGCGGGCCCGUCCCACCGCCCUGGAGCACCAUCCGGGGCCGUGGGCCGGGCACCGGGCGCGGCCCGCUCCGGACCUCGGCCGGGGGUCCCUCCCCUCCCCCCGCUCGACCCCCCAUCCGACGGCCCGGCCGGGCUGGGACCCCCGCACCGGGGUCCCGGUUCCCGUCCGCGGCCCGGGGGGACCCGAGCGGGGGCUUCCCACCCCCACCCCGCUCCUCCCCGGGCUCCGGCCCGGGAUCCCUCGCUGCUCCCGGCGACCUCCGCCGGCUUCCCGGUCCACCCGCCGCGGAACGGACGGGACCCGGGGUCCGCGCCCUUCCCCUCCCCCCACGGGGGGCUGGGUCGCGGACCCCGGUUCCUAGGCUCGUUCCGCGGUGGGCGACCGGGGAUCCCCCACCCAGCUCCCCUUCCCGGCCCGCCCCGCUGGCUUUUGGGCCCCUCCGGGCUUUUUUCCGGCUGGGGGUCGCGGCGGUCGGCCGACGACGACGGUAGGUGGGCCGGGUGGACGGUGGUGGGGACGGGCGACGCCCCGGCUCGACGGCAGUCGGUCCCGGAAGGUUGGGGGCUGGGGGCCCGGUCAGGAGCUCCGGGAGCGGGGUCGACCGCGACGGCUUCCGGGUCUCGCGACGGCUCCCUCUCGGCGGCUCCGGUUGGGCUCCCCUCCCCCUUCUCGAGGGUCCGGCCGCCAGUCGUGACCGGGGGUCCCUCGGCCUAGCCGCCGGCUCUCGGGCCGCCUUAUCCUGGGCGUUGGCCGGUCCCGUGACGCUCCCUUCCCCCGCUGCUCCCCAAAAAAGUCCGCCCGAACCGUCGCGGCUUGCUGGCCCUGGGCGUGGUCCCCCACUCCCCUCCCCCCAUCGGCCGCCCAGCCGGGGUCGGCGCCUCGGACCCCACCAGGCUGUGGCGUGUGUGCUGGCCGAUGCGGCGGCGAGGCUGGGUGUGGCCGGAAGCGCUCGGGGUCGACGGUGGGCCGCCAUGACACCUCAAUUGUCGUCAGUACGCCCCUCCACAAUCACCGUCCCCACACGAUGGGCCCGGCAGGUCACCCAACGUUGGUUCAGGCCCAGUCGGGUUUUUCCCCGGCACGAACGCACGUCCCCGUGGGCUCCACGCGUUUUCCACCCUUUCCUGGAGGGGUCCGGAACACCGUGAAUCCACGGGGAGGGUCCCGGCACGGGCCGAGGAGACCACGACCGUCCCACCCGGCGUGUCGACCCGUCCGAGACCCGGGAAGGGAACAGGCCCCACCAUUUUUUUUUCCUUCUCCGAUUUGCCGUGGAAAACCCGUGAACCGAUACGGGUACAGACAGCCGAAAAAAAUUCGAGACGACAAUACGACGGCAGGGCGUGAUUUUCUCCCCCAUCCGACAAAACCGUGUCCCUUAAAAUUCCCCACCUUUCUCUGUUCAAAUGGCCCCGAAACUGUAAAACACCGUUUGACCGCACCCCAACCGGCGCCAUCUUGGUGACCUCGACGGUUCUCUCGCUCGUCAUGCCGUUCUGAGCUCCGACAUGGCGGACGAGAGAAAAUGGCGUCGAGAGCCUAGGAGCGUUUUCGCUCCAGGCGGGUAAAAAAAAUAGCACGAUAACUUUUCUGUGCUUUUUUUGAGACGUUUUAGAAGAGCUUUUUUCUGCUCAGAGCGAAAAAAUGAUAGCCCUGAAAAUCUCGACGAGUCUGGCCGAGCGGCGCCAUCUUGGAGGAGGGGCGAGUCGCGGGCACCGCCUCGGUACCCCCUGGCCGAGGCGAGUCCGCGGUCGCCGCCUGUUCCGUGAUGCUACCUAGAGGGCGCUGUCGAGGCGACUCUUCCUGUUUUCGCCCUGAGGGCUAACGGUCGCUGACGUCAAACCAUCUCGUGCUCGUUGAGUCACAUCCGGUUGUUGACAAGCGAUGGAGGACCGCACCCAAAGUGCGCCCUCUAGUCAUCGCGCCUGACCCCUUUUAUAAACUGCUCGAAGAAAAGAACACCUUAUGUGAAAAAAUACAGAAUGAUGACAAGUUCAUCCAACACAACCGCUCAACAACGCCAUAUCUAUCAGUGUCCAAAAACUAUCUUCUAUCCUUUGAAACUAUAAAUGCUGCCUAUAUACAUAUUUAGUAUCCAAGACUCUUACCACGUAGACGAAAAGAAGUGAUACAAUGAUCUUGACGUGUAUCGUCUAUAUCGUGCUAGAUAUAUUCAGAUAAGACGCGCAAACCAUAGAUUUCUCAUCAGUAUCAUGAAAGACCUAUAGCUCUAUAUACGAACCUAGUCAUUUUAGGACAGCCGCCGGAGAAGCCGACGAGGGAUCGGGCGGGUGCAGCCAGAACCUCACGCCCGAUCCCGCCUCCGGUAGGCGAUUUGCAUCUGUUUGGUAAAAAGCUCAUAAGUCUGUAUGUGACCUAUAUAUAUUAUACGCUAUGUACACCGAACUGUCGCUGUUGUAUAAGAAGAAAAAACUCUCCAUAUUUAUAUCGUCUGAAUUUUUGCUUGAUAGACACGUGUUUGGAACUCUGUCCCCCCACGUUUUCACUGUGUAUAACAAAAAUAUGUGUUUCUCAAAAGAUCUUGAGGUGUUUGAAAACGGGGGAAACCUGCGUUUGGGUGCGCUAAGCCCCGGACUGGGACGUAGCCGGCGUCCGGCACCUAUAUUUUUCUAUUUUUUUUUUUUUUUUUUUUUUUUUUUUUUUACAAAAUAUAUGAUGAACCAAGAAUAAAACUCUAGCUCUCGUCUAUUUUUAAUAUGCUCUACUUAGAACCUUUUUAAUGACAGAAUGAACUCCAUGUUAUACGCUCUUUAUAUAGUUUCUCUGCACUAACCUUUAAAACCGUAUCCUUCCCUGUUGUACAAAUCAUCUUUUGAUACACAAUGAUGACCUGAUAUCCCUCCAUAUAUAUGAUCGGAUAUUAUUCCGUUAGACUUGUCCUCCUUUUUUUUCCUCAUCUCCUGUAUCUGGAGAUAUAUGUUGACCACCACCGCCAUGACCACCAAAAAGCUAGCCGUCACGACUAGAAAUGUGUAGGAUUCGGACUUUCCGUUCGAGAAGAAAGAGACCGCGUCUCUGGACGCUCUUUUUGUCGGUCUGAAUCGACCCGGGAUACGUAAGAGAGCGGCCCUACAUCGGGGGGCGCUCGAGACCGACGACGUUCCAUCUGACCAGAAAAAAAAAAGGCACCCCUCGGUAGCGACCUCUCACCAUCGUUUGCCCGUCCGCCCGUCCUUCGUAGCCAUCAUCAUCAUCAUCUCAGGCUCUAUCGGUACCAUCGUUGUCAUCUGAAAAAAAAAACUGCCUCACCCACCUGCGUAAAAACACCAUCUUUCCGGAGGUGCGGUAAGACGGGCAAAUACGGUCGUGCCGAGGCAAAAAAACGCACCAUCGACACCACACCCUCAUGAGCACCACCUGUCGGUGUUGGUCGUCCUCCAUCGUUCUCUACGAACAUCUCGACGCCCGGGUGACGGACGACGGCAAGACGUCCCGGAGAAGACGGUGUUCUCUCGGGCGGUACGCUCUCUGGAUCUAUAAUAUCUAUAGUAGCUAAACGAGACUGUGAGUACGACGAACCACAUCAUCUUUUUUUUAUGUUGCUUCUUUAGAAAAUGACUUAUGUCGACGACACUCGGCAUCAGCCAUCUCGUGAAACACGCUCGCUUUUCGUCUCUCCAAGGAACACUGGGUCCGCUGAAAGGGACCGUGUACCGACCAAAGCAAAAAACACACACGUAGUAACAUGAUCAACCACGUCUGAAUGACACGAAAACACAAUCGUAUAACGCUCUAUUCAUGGAACGAACUUGGAAUAAAAAAACCAUCGCAGACCAGAGGCUAAGCCGAAACCGUCCGGGGAAGCGGGCGCGAGUUUUCCGACUUAGUCUCUGGUGCUCGUUGAGCCUCUUUUUUUUUCCUGAUUCUCUGAAGAAUCACCGUCACAGCCCUAUGACGCGAAAUCAAUUGCUAGAACAUAAACGUUCUCAACAGGUAUGAAAUGAACAAACUAGAUGAUGCUAUAACCUUAUAUUGUGUGUAUAUAGAUAGGUGUGAAAUUUGUAGGAUAAAAAGUGUCGUUGUAUGAUGCACAACGAUCGUGAAACUGGAGACUGUAGCUCUCUACCGAAUGCAAAUACACAAAUGACAUCGAUUCCCGUCCCCACAUAAAGAAAUGUGCUUUACUGUGAAAGAAUGAAGAAGAUUCUUGUUCCUCGUACGACGGGGCCCUCGCUCGUCGUGCCUCUUCCCCCCUCCGGGAGAGGGGACGUCGGGGCCCUCCGUCGCAUCGGGCCAAAGCCAGUGAAAUGUUUACUACACUGUCAUCAGAAUAUAUGAUGUAUAUUAUUUCCUCCAAACUCCUCACCAUAGCCACCAAUUCGCAUCACUUAAGAAAGUAGUAGCAACCGCGGCGGCGGCGACCGGCCGGUCGUCGUCUCCUCGUCCUCAAAUGUUGUACAUGUGCAGAAAAAUGUGUAAAUACGUGUUAUUUAUCCCAUGCGUCUUGUACAUAGAUAUAUGUUUUUAUAUACGCUAUUUAUACUUUAUAUAUCCUUUUGCAUAACCAUAGACAGUCAAGGAUUUUAAUGAUUUGCUCAUCCGCCUUUGAGCCAUCGCUUAGGAGUUAGUUCCUCUAUGUUCUCGGCCCACCUUUUCGACUACAGUAGCAAACCCUUGUACUACCACCCCGAUAAAAACCACAUCAUCAUCGUCACCACGACCUGGAAACGACACACGUUCCCCCCCCCCCCAAUCUUGGGCAUGUGUAUAUAUAUAAAGAAUGGGAGGGAGAGGACGUGGGGCUCGAGAAGAAAUAAACGCCAAGCUCGAUUCGAACC
rnacentral:sRNA from 1 species